GAAUCCCGUCUUUGACAUGGACUGCCAGGGCUUUGUGAUGCGCUCUCAAAGAGUCGAGUUGUUUGGGAAUGCAGCUCAAAAUGGGUGGUAAAUUCCAUCUAAAGCUAAAUAUUGGCGAGAGACCGAUAGCGAACAAGUACCGUGAGGGAAAGAUGAAAAGAACUUUGGAAAGAGAGUUAAACAGUACGUGAAAUUGCUGAAAGGGAAACGCUUGAAGUCAGUCGCGUCAUCCAGGGAUCAACCUUGCUUUUGCUUGGUGCACUUUCUGGUUUGAUGGGUCAGCAUCAAUUUUGACCAUUGGAAAAAGGUUAAGGGAAUGUGGCAUCUUUGGAUGUGUUAUAGCCCUUGGUCACAUACAAUGGUUGGGAUUGAGGAACUCAGCAUGCCGCAAGGCCGGGUUUUAAAACCACGUUCGUGCUUAGGAUGCUGGCAAUAUGGCUUUAAUCGACCCGUCUUGAAACACGGACCAAGGAGUCUAACAUGCCUGCGAGUGUUUGGGUGGAAAACCCGAGCGCGUAAUGAAAGUGAAAAGUUGAGAUCCCUGUCGUGGGGAGCAUCGACGCCCGGACCAGACCUUUUGUGACGGUUCCGCGGUAGAGCAUGUAUGUUGGGACCCGAAAGAUGGUGAACUAUGCCUGAAUAGGGUGAAUCCAGAGGAAACUCUGGUGGAGGCUCGUAGCGAUUCUGACGUGCAAAUCGAUCGUCAAAUUUGGGUAUAGGGGCGAAAGACUAAUCGAACCAUCUAGUAGCUGGUUCCUGCC
rnacentral:rRNA from 1 species